UAGUCCACGCCGUAAACGAUGAGAACUGAAUGUUUGGCAGCUAGACUGCUGAGUGUUUAAGCUAACGCGUUAAGUUCUCCGCCUGGGGAUUACGGCCGCAAGGCUAAAACUCAAAGGAAUUGACGGGGGCCCGCACAAGCGGUGGAGCAUGUGGUUUAAUUCGAUGCAACGCGAAGAACCUUACCUACUCUUGACAUCCUUGGAAGAUCGCAGAGAUGUGAUCGUGCCUUCGGGAACCAAGUGACAGGUGCUGCAUGGCUGUCGUCAGCUCGUGUUGUGAAAUGUUGGGUUAAGUCCCGUAACGAGCGCAACCCUUGUCCUUAGUUGCCAGCAUUAAGUUGGGUACUUUAAGGAGACUGCCGGUGAUAAACCGGAGGAAGGUGGGGAUGACGUCAAGUCCUCAUGGCCCUUAUGAGUAGGGCUACACACGUGCUACAAUGGUAACUCCAAUAGGAAGCUAACCCGCGAGGGGGAGCAAAUCCCAGAAAGUGCAUCCCAGUUCGGAUCGGAGUCUGGAACUCG
rnacentral:rRNA from 1 species